rnacentral:rRNA from 1 species
UGUUUCGGCAAGGGGGUCAUCCCGACUUACCAACCCGAUGCAAACUGCGAAUACCGGAGAAUGUUAUCACGGGAGACACACGGCGGGUGCUAACGUCCGUCGUGAAGAGGGAAACAACCCAGACCGCCAGCUAAGGUCCCAAAGUCAUGGUUAAGUGGGAAACGAUGUGGGAAGGCCCAGACAGCCAGGAUGUUGGCUUAGAAGCAGCCAUCAUUUAAAGAAAGCGUAAUAGCUCACUGGUCGAGUCGGCCUGCGCGGAAGAUGUAACGGGGCUAAACCAUGCACCGAAGCUGCGGCAGCGACGCUUAUGCGUUGUUGGGUAGGGGAGCGUUCUGUAAGCCUGUGAAGGUGUGCUGUGAGGCAUGCUGGAGGUAUCAGAAGUGCGAAUGCUGACAUAAGUAACGAUAAAGCGGGUGAAAAGCCCGCUCGCCGGAAGACCAAGGGUUCCUGUCCAACGUUAAUCGGGGCAGGGUGAGUCGACCCCUAAGGCGAGGCCGAAAGGCGUAGUCGAUGGGAAACAGGUUAAUAUUCCUGUACUUGGUGUUACUGCGAAGGGGGGACGGAGAAGGCUAUGUUGGCCGGGCGACGGUUGUCCCGGUUUAAGCGUGUAGGCUGGUUUUCCAGGCAAAUCCGGAAAAUCAAGGCUGAGGCGUGAUGACGAGGCACUACGGUGCUGAAGCAACAAAUGCCCUGCUUCCAGGAAAAGCCUCUAAGCAUCAGGUAACAUCAAAUCGUACCCCAAACCGACAC